AGUGAACGCUGGCGGUAGGCCUAACACAUGCAAGUCGAACGGCAGCACAGGAGAGCUUGCUCUCUGGGUGGCGAGUGGCGGACGGGUGAGGAAUACAUCGGAAUCUACCUUUUCGUGGGGGAUAACGUAGGGAAACUUACGCUAAUACCGCAUACGACCUUCGGGUGAAAGCAGGGGACCUUCGGGCCUUGCGCGGAUAGAUGAGCCGAUGUGGGAUUAGCUAGUUGGCGGGGUAAAGGCCCACCAAGGCGACGAUCCGUGGCUGGUCUGGGAGGAUGAUCAGCCACACUGGAACUGAGAAACGGUCACGAGUCCGACGGGAGGCAGCAGUGGGGAAGAUUGGACAAUGGGCGAAAGCCUGAUCCAGCCAUGCCGCGUGGGCGAAGAAGGCCUUCGGGUUGUAAAGCCCUUUUGUUGGGAAAGAAAAGCAGCCAGUUAAUACCUGGUUGUUCUGACGGUACCCAAAGAAUAAGCACCGGCUAACUUCGUGCCAGCCGCCGCGGUAA
rnacentral:rRNA from 1 species